CACGUAGGGUGCGAGCGUUGUCCGGAAUUAUUGGGCGUAAAGAGCUCGUAGGCGGUGUGUCGCGUCGGCCGUGAAAACUUGCAGCUUAACUGUGGGCGUGCGGUCGAUACGGGCAUCACUGGAGUUCGGCAGGGGAGACUGGAAUUCUCGGUGUAGCGGUGAAAUGCGUAGAUAUCGAGGGGAACACCUGCGGCGAAGGCGGGUAGCUGGGCCGACACUGACGCUGAGGCACGAAAGCGUGGGUAGCAAACAGG
rnacentral:rRNA from 1 species